GCAACUUAUUUUUGUGCGUGUGUUUUAGAAACAAAUAAGCUCAUACUUUCGUUAUUUUCCCAGUAAACAUCGGUUGUCCUUUAGCAGUUGUUUCCUCUGACAACCACUAGAGGGUGCUGCAUCUAGCAUAUUUGCUACUGAAGAAGUGUUGUCCAAAUCAAACAAGGAAGAGAAUCCGAUUGUUUUCCUCUUAAAGUUUGAUAUUUUUCUUAUGCAAAUCAAAAGAGUCGUUUUGUUGUUUUUAUUCAUUUAUUCUUUUUUUUCUGUUUUAAUGGGAUCGGCAGAAUUUUUCUGUAAUGUCAAACUUUUCUCCCAAAAGUGCAAUUUAUACUCCAGAGCGACUUGUUCUUUGGGAAAUAUGGUAAUCGAUCCAUGGUUGAAAUUUGAACUUUGUUUUUAAAAUAAAACCUCCUUUGGCUGCUGUGAUGACCAUCUGCCAAUUCAAUGAAAAAAUUCACUUCAGAUACUCCAGUAAGUUGAGAUAUCAAGUGUGGGUCAAGCUUUAUGUCACCAUUAAAAGUACACCAAAAUAAUAACAUUUUAAGAUAAAUUUAUAAAAAAAAUGAUGCAUUUUUUUUUGUGGAGGAAGUGAUAAAAAUUCCUGCUGCCAGAAAAGUGAUUUACCUGAGAACAGAAAUCAGUUUGGUUGAAAAUCAGAUUUUUAUUUUUUUAACUCCAUACCGUCUUCUGCUGUGUCCCAACACAGAAAUAUUCAGUAUUUUCCAGCACUGCUGCCACAAAUAUUGUCUUUUCAAUUGUCCUAGAUAGUAAGAUAGAGGCAGGAGACUUCCACGCUCUGGGAAAUAAAUACUCUGCUCCAUUUCUCUCCACGAGGAAGUCAGAACACACAGGAGAGUGCAGAGCCUGCCUCACUCGUACAUUCAAAGGAGCACUUUUCUCCUUAAAUAGCUCUCCAACCUUCACGGCAUCUUCUUCCUUCCAGCGUUCACACGAGUGGCUGUAAAGAAGUUCAGUAAAAGGUCAAGUUCUGCAUGAACACUCGCUGGGAUGAAUCUGCUGAACGGCCUUCGACUCCCUUAUUGUUAAUGGAAACACGAGCCGUCCUGAGAGGAGCAAAUGUAGAAACGCUUAGUUCAGACGGGUUUUUCUUUAGUUUUUGAAAAUUUGCAAAUAAAAAUUGGAAAUCCAACUAAAUUCUGUCAGAAGUCACGUGUGUGCACUAAACUAAGGAGAAAUAUUUGGUGAGAAUCUUUUUUUUAAGGUUUAACAGGCAUUUUUUUUUAAAGAAUGAAAAUGUAUUUAUGUGAUUAUCUUAAUUUUAAUCAGUAUUUACUUUGUCAACUCUAAAAAGUUUAAUUAAAUUUGUAAAAACAGGAGGAGAAUUAAUUACUAUUGAGAUUAUAAUAGAUAAAACAGCAUCGGCCUACUUUGGUUGUUCUGUUUUGUUUUUUUUUAAACAUUUGUCAUAAUAACUGAAACUUUCUAGGUCAGUGUGAAACCUGCCACGAGUUCUAUGCUUUGAUUUGAUUAUUCUAAUGUUCAAUCAUCCUUACUAAAAACGGUAUCCUGAAAGGAGGCAGAUCAGACUGAUGUGUAAACUGUUCCUCACAAAGACAAAAAAAAAACAAAAA